rnacentral:rRNA from 1 species
UACGGGGGGGGGGCAAGCGUUUGUUCGGAAUCACUGGGCGUAAAGGGUGCGUAGGCGGGUCUUUAAGUCAGGGGUGAAAUCCUGGAGCUCAACUCCAGAACUGCCUUUGAUACUGAAGAUCUUGAGUUCGGGAGAGGUGAGUGGAACUGCGAGUGUAGAGGUGAAAUUCGUAGAUAUUCGCAAGAACACCAGUGGCGAAGGCGGCUCACUGGCCCGAUACUGACGCUGAGGCACGAAAGCGUGGGGAGCAAACAGG